rnacentral:tRNA from 1 species
GUGCCCGUAGCUCAGCUGGAUAGAGCGCAAGCCUCCGACGCUUGAUGCCGAUGGUUCGAAUCCAUUCGGGCACGCCA